GCUCUUCUAGUAUACUAAUUACAAUUGACUUCCAAUCCAUAAAAUCUGGUGCGACCCCAGAGAAGAGCA
rnacentral:tRNA from 1 species